rnacentral:lncRNA from 10 species
AUUUUUUUAAAUUUUGUUUAUAUAUUUAUUUAUUUAUUUUGAGAUGAAGUCUCAUUCUGUUGCCUAGGCUGGAGUACAGUGGCACAAUCUUGGCUCACUGCAACCUCUGCCUCCCAGGUUCAAGCAAUUCUCUCAGCCUCCCAAGUAGCUGGGAUUAUAGGCAUAUGCCACCAUGCCAGGCUAAUUUUUGUAUUUUUUGUAGACACAGGGUUUUGCCAUGUUGGCCAGGCUGGUCUCAAACUCCUGACCAGCCCUCCUUGACCUUCCAAAGUGCUGGGAUUAUAGGCGUGAGCCAUUGCACCUGGCCCAGUUCCCUGGGAUACAUGUGUUUUAAUUCAUUUUCUGUUGCUAGUAACAGAAUACCUGAAACUGGGUAAUUUAUAAGGAAAAGAAAUUUAUUUCUUACAGUGAUGGAGGUUGAGAAGUCCAACUUCAAGGCACCACAUCUGGUGAGAGCCUUCAUUCCGAUGACAGCCUUCAUGCUGGUAAGAUUUUCUUCAGAGUUCCAAGGUGGUGCACGGCAUCACAUGGCGAAGGAAAUGAGCGUGCUAGCUCAGGUGUCUCUUCCUCUUCUUAUAAAGCCACCAGUCCCACUCCUGUGCUAGUAACUCUUUAAUCCAUCAACCCAUUAAUCCAUGAAUAGAUUAACCCAUGAGGCCUCUGCCCUCAGGACCCAAUCACCUCUUAAAGGCCUGACCUGUCAAUAUUGCCAUACUGGGGACUCAGUUUCAACAUGAGUUUUGAAAGGGACAAACAUUCAAUCCAUAGUAACAUGAGAGCUUUUCAAAGCCCUUCUUUGUUGAAGUAUGUCCUUCUCCAGCCUCUUUUUUCCCAGGCUUUUUGUUUUUUCUAUUGCUUGUGCAGCUGUUAUCCUUUGCUACAGGUGGCAAUAGCUAAUACAUUUGCCUUUAAAUUUGUUUGACAAACACCACCCUGGAAGUAGCCUCAACUCUGGGGAAGCUCCAAGACAGGUAAAAUACAGCAACCUGCAGCAGGAAAAUGGGCUUCAGUUUUCAAGUCUGCAGCUGAGUUGGGAAGUUGCGGACAGUAACCAGAGGAAAGGCCACAUGGGGACAAGAGAGGGCAACUGUCUACAAAUCUGGAAGAGAGACUUCAGAAGAAACCAGCACUGAUGGCAUCUGAUCUUGGACUUCCAGCCUCUGGAUCUUUUCUGUGUCAUUUCCAGAUCUGCCAGAGCCUGAUCUCAUACACACUGAUGUGGUACAGGAAAUGCCACCUGAAAAUAUGGUACCUUGGCAUUUGAGGAAACAGUAGAAGGAGGUCAUAGAAACUAGAAAGAAUUCCUCCUUGCUCUUUGUCCCCCAAAGGAGCCAUAAAACCUGGGCCGAGUUUCUUCUGAAAAUAAGUUAUAAGAUCCUUAUUCCAGAGGGGUCCUGCCCUGUGCCUGGAGGAAAAGAAUGAAGACACAGAGAUGCCUUGAAGAAUCUGAACAAACAGCCCUUGCUAAGUUCCCCCCAGUUUAUUGACAUUAGAUUAGACCUUUUGUCCUCCAAUUAUACUUCUGUGUUCCUGAAAAUACACAUUUUCCCGUUUUUUCUUUUGUUUGCUUUUUUUGAUCUUCAUUUCUGAAGAUUCCCAUGUCAUGUAAAAUAUAUGUUAAACAAAU